rnacentral:rRNA from 1 species
GGGUUUGAUGCUGGCACCCAAUUUUUGGAUGCAUGUGCUCGCCCUGACAAUCAUCUUCCAAACACCUGUGCACAUUUUUGAGGGAAUUUUGAGUUGAUUACCAUUUUUGGGUGAUUUUCUUGCAUUCCCUUAAAUUACUAUACGCUGAUAACAAUGCUGAACGUGUUUUGUGCCGCAAGGCCAUUAAUAUAAUAUAACUUUUAACAACGGAUCUCUUGGCUCUCGCAUCGAUGAAGAACGCAGCGAAAUGCGAUAAGUAAUGUGAAUUGCAGAAUUCAGUGAAUCAUCGAAUCUUUGAACGCACCUUGCGCUCCCUGGUAUUCCGGGGAGCACGCCUGUUCGAGUGUCGCGAAAUUUCUCAAGCUUGGAUGGCCUUUAUGUCUGUCCUUAGCCUUGGUUGUUGGGCUUUGCCGUGUCCUUCAUUGGGACGGCUGGCCUUAAAUGCAUUAGCUGAUCCUUGUGUGGCACUGGUUCUACUCAGCGUGAUAAUAGUCUGAUCGCUGAGGACAUCUUUCGGGAUGGCCAGUCCUCAUUUGGGUUGCUUCUAAACUUGGUGUUGCAAGUUAUUUCAACCUGUAAUGCCACUUUUCAGCUUUGACCUCGAAUCAGGUGGGACUACCCGCUGAACUUAAGCAUAUCAAUA